rnacentral:rRNA from 1 species
UACGGAGGGUGCAAGCGUUAAUCGGAAUUACUGGGCGUAAAGCGCGCAUAGGCGGUUUUUUAAGUCGGAUGUGAAAGCCCCGGGCUCAACCUGGGAACUGCAUCCGAUACUGGAAGACUAGAAUGCGGGAGAGGGAGGUAGAAUUCCAUGUGUAGCAGUGAAAUGCGUAGAUAUAUGGAGGAAUACCAGUGGCGAAGGCGGCCUCCUGGCUCGACAUUGACGCUGAGGUGCGAAAGCGUGGGGAGCAAACGGG